UACAGAGGGGGCAAGCGUUAUUCGGAAUUAUUGGGCGUAAAGGGCGCGUAGGCGGCUUUGCAAGUGGCGGGUGAAAUCCCUCGGCUUAACCGGGGAACUGCCUGUCAGACUGGGAGGCUUGAGACCGGGAGAGGUGAGUGGAAUUCCCAGUGUAGCGGUGAAAUGCGUAGAUAUUGGGAGGAACACCAGUGGCGAAGGCGGCUCACUGGACCGGUACUGACGCUGAUGCGCGAAAGCGUGGGGAGCAAACAGG
rnacentral:rRNA from 1 species